GCUGCGAUGGCCGAGUGGUUAAGGCGUUGGACUUGAAAUCCAAUGGGAUCUUCCCGCGUAGGUUUGAACCCUACUCGCAGCG